rnacentral:rRNA from 1 species
CCUACGGGUGGCAGCAGUGGGGAAUAUUGCACAAUGGGGGAAACCCUGACCUAGCGACGCCGCGUGAGUGAAGAAGGACUUCGGUAUGUAAAGCUCUUUCAGCAGGGAAGAAAAUGACGGUACCUGAUUAAGAAGCCCCGGCGAACUACGUGCCAGCAGCCGCGGUAAUACGUAGGGGGCAAGCGUUAUCCGGAUUUACUGGGUGUAAAGGGAGCGUAGUCGGCAGCACAAGUCUGGAGUGAAAUGCCGGGGCUUAACCCCGGAACUGCUGUGGAAACUGUGCAGCUAGAGUGCAGGAGAGGCAAGUGGAAUUCCUAGUGUAGCGGUGAAAUGCGUAGAUAUUAGGAAGAACACCAGUGGCGAAGGCGGCUUACUGGACUGUAACUGACGUUGAGGCUCGAAAGCGUGGGGAGCAAACAGGAUUAGAUACCCGUGUAGUC